CCUUCCUGUUGCUGUGUCUCCGUACAGUGGAGAGAGAAAGAGGCGCUCUAGGGAUUUUCCUCUCCUCAUAACCUCACUGACUCCAUCAUGGCGGCCCUGCCUUCUCACUGGCGUCACAACUUCUUCAUAUCUGGCUUUCAAAGAUUCUGUGAAGACAUAGAAAUGAUGAUUGGAUUCCAGCCCAACACUUUCUGGAAAGUCUGCUGGGCAUUUGUGACCGUGACCAUCCUAACCAGAAGGACUGUGUGCUUUCUCAUGUGGCUAGCGCCUCGCCUGCAUAUAUGAUAAUUACACUCAAAGAUGUGUUUGCCACUGUGUGACCCUGGGAAGCUGGUGGGAGGAGUAUUCUUCUUGUCUGUCAGAGGCUGAAGUUGGUGUGCUCACUGCAACCAGACUGGGAUCCAUUUUUACACUUUUUUACACUUUUUUACACAUUUUACACUGCAGGGAGUGCUACAAGAACAGGAUCGAUCUACUGGGAACCUCUUCCCUGGGUCUCAAACUGCCAGUCAAGGAUUUGGAACUGGGUACCCAGUGCUAGCCCAGCAUGUGGAAUGGCCCAGACUUUAAUCUGUUUGUCCUCUGCUUCCUCCUUUUGCCCAGGUUCCCUCUCAUUCCCCUUCCUCCCAUAUCUUCACUCGCAACCAUGCAUGGGUGUGGUAGCAAAGUAGGACCUGGUGCCACAUGCUGUAGUGAGAGCCACAGGGACCACUUGAAGCACUGUUUGUGUCCCUGGUGUCAGUUUCUGGAAGUGGUGGUCUCCUGAGCACAGUCUCCUCCCCUGGGCCCUCCUGGAGCCCUAGGAGGGGUACAUGGCUCGGUUACCAGAUGAGGAUCUGCUGUGUUUCAUCACUGGGGUGCCAGGCAUAGAAGAGCAGAGUUUCAAGACUGUUAAUUUGGACUUAUUAGCAUUGCAAAGCCGACCUGCAUAUGCAGGGAUUUCACUCAGGCCCCCAGAGUUCAGGACUGGGUCCAUUUAGAGGGACAGCAGUGGCCAGAAAUUGUUUUAUACAUAAGGCAAAGCCAAUGGACUUGGACACUACCGAGGCUGGUGAGUUCCUAUUUCCAGCUGUCAUCACAUCUCUUUCCUUACUUGGAACAAGGAUACCACGACCUCAAAUGCUCUGCUCCUGCUCUCUGUGGGGCAGGUAAAGUGUCCAUUCUUCGCCCUCAGUCAUCUUGUCUUUCUGUAAUUGCAUUGUGAGAUCUUCUGGUCAUUUCUUCUCCUCCACCACAAGAAGCCAUCCUAUGAUUUGUGCCUAAUUUUGUAUGUUCACGUUAGAGCUCCGCUACGGUUUUUGUGUAACAUUUAGUGUCAGGAUUCAGUACCAUGAUCCUUGGUUUCUUCUCCUUUGAGUGUCUUUCUAUAAGCUGUAGACACCUUGUCUUUCAACCUCUUGGGCAACAAGAUUUACCCUGGUUCUGACUAUAUAUUAUAUAUGUAAGACACACACUUUUCAAAAACCAUUUCUCAAUUUAUACUCAACUUUUUAUUACAAUAAAUGCCAAUUGUUACAGAGAAAUCAAAGACAUGAAGAAUUUAAUGGAAGGAACCAUAAUAUUCACUGCACUGUAGCACAUCUUAGGUCACUGUGUUUACAGAAAUUACAGAUAGAUGCAGCUUAGGUCAGUAGAGAGUGAUCCAGAUAAGACUAGCUUUUAAGACUACACUUAGCCAAUUCAGUUGUAAGAGUUUCUUAUUCGCAGCGUUCAUUGUAACUGCGCUCCAAUGAGAGCAAAUCACAUGUCUGCCAAGAUUGGAGAAAUGGUAACGCUUCUUACCUUCUUGUAUUCUGAAGAUGCAUAUAUGAAAUUUUAAAAAUGUGAUAUGUGCUUAUGUAGUGUGUACUCAUAGUGGUGUUUUCUGUCCUUAUAAAUAUCUUAGGAAUCACUAUAGACGGUGAAUUUAGCACAAUGUAGUCUAGGCCUUUUUCUUUUCUUGCAAUAUUAAUAUGUAAACCUAAAAUUGUUUCCUUUAGGGGAGACCAUUUCAAUAAUUUUCUUAUUCAUUUGUCUUCACAUACCGGAUCUCAGGCAAAGUUCUCAGUUCAAAUCUUGUAUAUUGAUGUGAUAUUUUCAUCUUGUUCAAUAGUGAUGAAACCCAACAACAGGGUUUGGUGUUAACAUUUUAAAAAGAUGACUUCCUUUGUACUGAAUUAUCUGAACUAUUUUUCUGAGCGCUUCCUUUUUUUAGGGCAAAGAGCAUCAGUAUUUGCCAGCAAGACUGUGACUGUCCAGAGUAGCUUGUGAAAGGUGUUGGGGAAAGAAACACAGAUGGGUCUAACUGUGGGUUUUCCCAUCUCCCAUCUCCCAUCUGCAGUAUGUCCGUCCUUUCUCUUCCCGUCCUUCUCCUUUACACCCCACAGCUGGACCUCCCUGACUUUCAGAAACACUGAACCUCCAGCUUCCCCUAAACUCAUUUUCAGGAAGUUGAGGCAUGGCCUUGCCUGUCCAGUGUUUGCUAUCGUGACCUGUCUGUCAUCAAAUUUCCCCAAGAAAGCCAUAUUGAUGAGAGGCCUCUGUUCCCAUACAAGAUGUCACAGAUGAUACCAAAAUUUAGCUUCCACAAUUGAUGCCUGGAAGAGAAGUGGGGAGAGAUAAAAAAGCUUUUCAAUCUGAAGGUGGAAGCAAAUAUGUUAAAUUAAUUAGCAUUCUCUUUUGGGAUUGGUGUCUCUGUCAUGGUGAAUGGGUUUCCUUCUGCUACUUGGCUGAAAAUGAGUUUGUUGCUAGACACCAACCCUAUUUCUGCUAAUUAUUACUCUUGUGACUAAAGGAAGGGAGAACUCCCAUGGCUCCUGCUAUUUGCAAACAGAAAGCUAACUGUUAUGAGAAUGGAGACCACCUUGUUCAGUAGUGUUUGGGGGUAGUUAUAAAGAAUUUGUGUUACUAAGAUUUGUCCAGCAAAACUCAGUAGCUGCGUGCUCAAUAACUGUGGUUCCCUGCCAGUCUCUGCUCCCACAAAUUUUGUGAUUUCAUACACAGUUUGCUUAAAGAAUGUUGCUCAGGUGAGUGGCUCUGAGCUUACCUGGAAAUGGCUAGCUUUUAGAUUUUAGAUUUAGUAAGUUUUUACAGCCCUUUUGGGUUUGAGGCUUUCUCCAACAGGAUGUUUCAGUGUUCUAGGUGUGUCCCAUUGUGUAUCCAUAGCUUUAUGUAUGUAUCCAUAGCUUUAUGCUUCCCGUGGACUUGGCUGAGAUGCUCAGAGCUGAGAUGCAUCUCACUGGAUGGCCGGCUCUCAUGAUAUUAACAUGUAUUGUCAACUGGAAGGGAGAAAACCGAGUAAAAAUAAAAUGAAAUGCACGGAUAUAACCCUGCACCUCAGGGCUGCCCUUCAAGCUGGGGAAAACUGAGCUGCUUAGGAAAGACUUUCGGCCAGUCACUGUGCCAACCAGUUGGGACAUUUUUCAGUUGUGAAAUUAUCUCCUAACACCAACAGAUGUCAGAAACCUAUUCAGAGAAAAAUAAGCCAUAUUGAAAAACAGUAACCCUCUAACUUCCUUACAAGAGAAAAAAAUGUGUAUUUCUUAACUAUUGGUGUUUUGGUUUCUUAUGCAAAUAUUUGUCUUGUGUAUUAGUAACUUUUAAUCUUUGUGUCGUGUGCUGUGUUUGUCAUAAGCAAAUAUGUCUUUAGUAAUUGUUUUUUUCCCAGUAUAUUUAUUUAUUGCAUGAAAUGUGUGAUCAGUGCAAAAUCUGAAUGACCUCCCACCUUUGAAAUUACCAGCAUGUGUUUAAUACAUAAGGAAGGUAAUCAGCUUGUAUUUCAGUGAGCAACACCUUAAAAAGAGUGACACAAAGUAAUCUCUGUGUAAGACUUGAGAUGUCUUCAUGGCUUUGCGGGAUUAGGAGUUGACUUUUGUGUCUGUUUUCUGUCCCGUCAUCUUCCUGUGCCCCAAUGCUUCCUGUCCACCUUCCUCUCCUGUCAGCAUGGUUUCCCCAUGUCCCAAAGUAAGAGUUUUCUUUCCUCUCUGUUCCCCUGGCCAUGGGUCACUGUCCUCUUCCUAGAGGCUGGCACAAUCCCUGUGGCUCAGUGUGGGUGGUGGCAGGAUCAAACCAUCUUGGUCACUCCUGGGUUUGCAGCUUCCACUGCUUCUUUGAGGCAAUGACUUGAGUGGGAGGGUUCCCUGCGUAGCAGGUUGUCCUGCAGGGACAAAAGGUCAAGGCCAACAAAUAAGCGUUUCCCGUGUUUCAUGCUGGGUAUCAUGAGGAAAUCUUGCAGGCUGGAAGAAAAGACUGGUGAUUCCCUCUGGAUACGCAUUUUCCUGCAAAGUGGGCCUGAGAUUUGGAAAGUGAAGCUUCCUGCCUUGCCCGGAUUUCGCUUUGGUUUUCCAGGAAGGCCAAGGAGUUAUGAAUUGUGGUCUUUGCUCAGGUCACAGCUGAGCAGCCUGCAGCCAGCAGAAAGUGUUUGCAGACUGAGGAUUCAUCACCUCUGAAAAGCACACAGAGGUAUGAUCUGCUUGGCAUGGAUGAAAUAAACCUUCGGGUGACCAUUUGCCUUACAGGUAUAUUUUACUGUUAGGGUGAUACUUAGAAAUUCACUAGGAGCUGUUUUGUUUCUCAUUUGCUGGUCUUUCUUUGUACUUUAUUAUGGACCUAUCAAGGAAUACGUUACUGCUUAAAUUGUGUACUUGGAUAAUAUCCUAUAAGCAAUGAAUAAAGAUAUGUUUUGCAAGUCAGGUCCUUAUAUUUUUUCAUUAACUGUACAUGAAGAAAAUAUACCAUGUCACAAAUGACGCAUUGUAGAUACUUACAGAGUAUGUGUUAUAUACUCUGCAUUAAUCACUUAUAAAGUCAUUAUUCUUGAGGCUCUACCUCAAAUUUUAUAUUCAUGUGUACAAGUGCAAUUUAUUGUAUUAUAUCCUUGCCUAUUAUAUACAGAUAUAAGUUAGAAUUUAGCCUAAUAAUGUACGAAUUCACGAAACCCUAAAUAAAUGUCAGAGUUUAAAACAAAUUGCAGGAUCGUGUCUGCAGCAAACCCAUUACCUGCCAUCUUUCCUUCUUACAAACAGCCUUCAGGCUUUCCUGGAUUGGUCGGUUUUAUUGUGAGAAACGUGGAAUAGCAGAAUAGCGUUGGAAAAUUGCCCUCCUGGGAAAAUGAGACACCGUUGUGCUGUGGCAGAAACAAAUACCAAUUAAAUUGUUAUA